GACGAACGCUGGCGGCGUGCCUAACACAUGCAAGUUGAGCGACGAACCAGGGCUUGCCCUGGGGCAAAGCAGCGAACGGGUGAGUAACACGUGGGUAACCUGCCCCGAUGAUCGGGACAACCCGAGGAAACUCGGGCUAAUACCGAAUGUGCUCGCCGGACACCAGUCCGGCGCGUAAAGGAAGCUUCGGCCUCCGCAUCGGGAGGGGCCCGCGGCCCAUUAGCUUGUUGGUGAGGUAACGGCUCACCAAGGCAACGAUGGGUAGCUGGUCUGAGAGGACGAUCAGCCACACUGGGACUGGGACGCGGCCCAGACUCCUACGGGAGGCAGCAGUGGGGAAUCUUGCGCAAUGCGCGAAAGCGUGACGCAGCAACGCCGCGUGGGGGAAGAAGGCCUUCGGGUUGUAAACCCCUUUCAGGAGGGACGAAGGUUCGGCGGUGAAUAGCCGUCCGGACUGACGGUACCUCCACAAGAAGCCCCGGCUAACUACGUGCCAGCCGCCGCCGUAACAC
rnacentral:rRNA from 1 species